GCAGUCGAGGGGUAACAGGUAGCUUGCUAUGCUGACGACCGGCGCACGGGUGCGUAACGCGUAUAGAACCUACCUUAUAGUAAGGGAUAGCCCAGAGAAAUUUGGAUUAAUACCUUAUAGUAUUAUUGAAUGGCAUCGUUUAAUAAUUAAAGAUUUAUUGCUAUAAGAUGGCUAUGCGUUCUAUUAGCUAGUUGGUAUGGUAACGGCAUACCAAGGCUACGAUAGAUAGGGGUCCUGAGAGGGAGAUCCCCCACACUGGUACUGAGACACGGACCAGACUCCUACGGGAGGCAGCAGUGAGGAAUAUUGGACAAUGGAGGCAACUCUGAUCCAGCCAUGCCGCGUGUAGGAAGACUGCCCUAUGGGUUGUAAACUACUUUUAUAGAGGAAGAAACGACACUACGUGUAGUGUUUUGACGGUACUCUACGAAUAAGGAUCGGCUAACUCCGUGCCAGCAGCCGCGGUAAUACGGAGGAUCCAAGCGUUAUCCGGAAUCAUUGGGUUUAAAGGGUCCGUAGGCGGGUUUGUAAGUCAGUGGUGAAAGUUUUCGGCUCAACCGGAAAAUUGCCAUUGAUACUGCAAGUCUUGAAUCAUUGUGAAGUGGUUAGAAUGUGUAGUGUAGCGGUGAAAUGCAUAGAUAUUACACAGAAUACCGAUUGCGAAGGCAGAUCACUAACAAUGUAUUGACGCUAAGGGACGAAAGCGUGGGUAGCGAACAGGAUUAGAUACCCUGGUAGUCCACGCCGUAAACGAUGGUUACUAGCUGUUUGGACUUCGGUCUAAGUGGCUAAGCGAAAGUGAUAAGUAACCCACCUGGGGAGUACGUUCGCAAGAAUGAAACUCAAAGGAAUUGACGGGGGCCCGCACAAGCGGUGGAGCAUGUGGUUUAAUUCGAUGAUACGCGAGGAACCUUACC
rnacentral:rRNA from 1 species